UAAAGAAUUUCGGUAUGGGAUGGGGAUGCGUUCCAUUAGUUAGUUGGCGGGGUAACGGCCCACCAAGACAACGAUGGAUAGGGGUUCUGAGAGGAAGGUCCCCCACAUUGGAACUGAGACACGGUCCAAACUCCUACGGGAGGCAGCAGUGAGGAAUAUUGGUCAAUGGACGAGAGUCUGAACCAGCCAAGUAGCGUGAAGGAUGACUGCCCUACGGGUUGUAAACUUCUUUUAUAUGGGAAUAAAAUGUUCCACGUGUGGGAUUUUGUAUGUACCAUAUGAAUAAGGAUCGGCUAACUCCGUGCCAGCAGCCGCGGUAAUACGGAGGAUCCGAGCGUUAUCCGGAUUUAUUGGGUUUAAAGGGAGCGUAGGUGGAUUGUUAAGUCAGUUGUGAAAGUUUGCGGCUCAACCGUAAAAUUGCAGUUGAAACUGGCAGUCUUGAGUACAGUAGAGGUGGGCGGAAUUCGUGGUGUAGCGGUGAAAUGCUUAGAUAUCACGAAGAACUCCGAUUGCGAAGGCAGCUCACUGGACUGCAACUGACACUGAGGCUCGAAAGUGUGGGUAUCAAACAGGAUUAGAUACCCUGGUAGUCCACACAG
rnacentral:rRNA from 1 species